rnacentral:rRNA from 1 species
ACGCUAUCUGGAGGUUACCGCGGCUGCUGGCACGGAGUUAGCCGGUGCUUCUUCUGCGAGUAACGUCACAGAUGUAAGGUAUUAACUUACACCCUUUCCUCCUCGCUGAAAGUGCUUUACAACCCGAAGGCCUUCUUCACACACGCGGCAUGGCUGCAUCAGGGUUUCCCCCAUUGUGCAAUAUUCCCCACUGCUGCCUCCCGUAGGAGUCUGGGCCGUGUCUCAGUCCCAGUGUGGCUGAUCAUCCUCUCAGACCAGCUAGGGAUCGUCGCCUAGGUGAGCCUUUACCUCACCUACUAGCUAAUCCCACCUGGGCUUAUCCAUCAGCGCAAGGCCCGAAGGUCCCCUGCUUUCCCCCGUAGGGCGUAUGCGGUAUUAGCAGUCGUUUCCAACUGUUAUCCCCCACAAAUGGGCAAAUUCCCAGGCAUUACUCACCCGUCCGCCGCUCGUCAUCUUCAAAAGCAAGCUUUUGAAAUGUUACCGCUCGACUUGCAUGUGUUAGGCCUGCCGCCAGCGUUCAAU